UAGUCAUGGUAUGGGCACUGCAGUAAAACUAACUUGAAGUGAUCCCAUGCUUCAUGAAAAGAAUUAGUAUCCUUUUGAUAAAAAUUAGAAACUUCAGCUCUCAAUUC
rfam:Ricinus communis cultivar Hale ctg_1100012362446, whole genome shotgun sequence.